rnacentral:sRNA from 1 species
AAAAAGAAUUCACACUGGUACCUGAUGGUGUACUUAUUUAGCAUCUAACUGUUGAAGUUGAGAUGAUUUUUAAGUCUCAGGAGUAACUUGCAUUUGUAGUUUGCAUGCUAAAAAGGGUUUGAAUGUCAUUUACUGUUUCUGAAGCUUCUAAAGAAAGCUUCAUAUGAGGCAUAAUUACAAUUUGCAUUGCUCCCAAGUUUCUUUGCUUUUUGAUACAGGUGAAGUCUUUAUCACCCAAGUGCUGGAAUUACAGGCAUGAGCCACCAGGACAGCUUGCAAGUCCACCUCAUCAUUCUUUUUAAUGUUUGUCUUGGUAGCUAAGGGUUAGACUCUGGCUCUUGUGCUUGGUGGAAAAACACAGUGCCACUGUGUCACAGCCCUCGAGCAAUAGUACUGGUGUUCAAACCCAGAGAAGGCCUUGUACAUGUUCAGCCAGGGCUGUGUGAUGGAAACACACCUCCCAACCCCCUUACCUUUUUUAAGUUUAAAAUUUGAAUCAGAGGCUCACAGGGUACUUUUUAUAAUGUAAAGUUUAGUGUACCAUUCAACUGCUUUCCUCAAAGAUACCUCCCGUACCUGAGGUGUUACAUGAAAGCAGGAAAUAAUUACAUAGCUAUUAGCUAAGUAUGCAGUUGAAUGUAUUUUUACUGUACCCUGCCAGGUGUACUGCUUCCUAUCUGUGGUCUCAGCACUUAGGCAAGACAGGAAGAUGGCCAAGAGUUUGAGGUCAGUCUUAACCAGUGAGUUCCAAGCUACCCUGGACUAGAAUGACCCUCUGUCAUGAUGAAGCCCCCAAAUCAACAUUCCUUCUGUAUGCAUUUUGUUGUUCUGCUGACUACUUCAGAAUCUUUUUUUUUUUUAAUAGGAGUUUAUACAGAGAAAUCCUUUUCUUAUCAUUAGUGUCUCUUGGGAGAGAAAACAUUGAUAUUGAGGCUUUUGACAAUGAAUAUGGACUCGCAUAUAGAAGUCUGUCUUCAGAGAUUCUUGAAAAGUUACAGAAAAUCGAUGCCCCACCCAGUAUCAGUGUGGAGUGGUGCAGGAAGUGUUUUGGAGCACCUCUCAUUUAAAUAAGAUUCAUUCAAAUUUUGGUAGAGUAUUGGGGAAAUAGACCUGUCGGGAAACUGUUCUUCCCAAAUCAUAACUUGGUGAAAGCUGAGGAUGAAAUACAAAUGAACUGUAUUUCAUACUGAAUCUCUCAGAAUGUAAAACACCACUCAGUUCCCCAAGGCUUAUUGAUGUUGGAGAUUCCUGACCUAUUUCCCUGCCUCUGCUGAAAACGCAUAGUAUGUGUAAAAAAAAAAAUGAAAUUUUCAUCUUUCUAUAUAAUUUGCUUUUAUUGAAACUGUCCAGCUAGGGAAUGGCAAAUCAAAUUUGCCUAACCGAAAGACAUGCUAUAUUUCACUUACAAGAGUAGCUGUGUAUGAUUGUAUGUGUGAGGCUAUGUAGUCAAUUUAUGUGUAUGUGUGUCUAUUUAUUACAAUACUGAGGUUGCAUGUUGCAGCAGUUUUCUGAAGGAGGCCUCGUUGCCCCGUCAGUGACUACUACACUUGUUUGUAGUCAGCAGUUCCAAAAACAUUUAGGUCUUUCUUAACAACUGCCUUCCCUGUGACAUAUCUUUGCCUUUUAAAUUAUGUACUAUCUUGCUUAAUAGGUUAUAUCUUAGAUAUCCAGGUGCUCCUUUCCAUCUUCUUCCAAUACUAAGUUAAUCUGCAAUGCUUUCAUUGGAAUCCAAUAGGUAAAAUGAAAUUAAUUUUUGUUACCUAACAAAAUUAUCCAGAACAUGUUUUAAAAUGCUAAUGAAUAGUCUUUGACCCCAAAAUCCUUAUUCAGGCAGGCCACUUGUUGGUGUUGUUUACUUUUUUAUAAUCCUGGUUUCAUGGGAGACAGAGGCAGGAGGAUCUCAAGUUCAAGGCCAGCCUGAACAACCUUUAGUGAGCCCUGUCUCAAAAACUUGAAAGGAGAUCUAGGAAUGUAGCUCACUAGUAGAGCACUUGCCUAGCAUACAUGAGGUUCUAGGUUCAGUUCCUAGUACCACAAAAUAAGUAAGUAAGUAAAUAAAUACAUAGAUAAAACCUGUGGGAUGGAGAAUUUGCACUGCACAUAAAAGUUUUAUUCUUGUACAAUAUUUUGAUUUAUAUGCUUGUGAAUAAAAGUGUGUAUUUGUAAAUACUGUUUUUUUAGGUUGAAUCAAUUAAGUCUAAAAACUUUAAAGCUUAUUGAGCUCAUUGGCAGGUUUAAGGAAAUCAUGACCUCACAUGCCCCACCUUGACAUAAAUUGUGCUUUUUGUUAAAACAUCCAUUUAAGAACAGCAAGUUUGCCUUAGCUGUCUGUGUGGUUUAGAAAACCAGUGGCUAUGUGUGCACUUAUAAUAAUAGUGCAGAUGACUAAACCGGUUGACAGACUUACCUCAACAUGGUACACGCUAAUAGCAUGAAUCUCUUCAAUGUGGUGGGAACUUUUUAAAAUUAUGUACCAACAUUUCAAUGUUAACAUUAAAAGUUGUUAAUCUGACUUUGCAGAUUCUAGUCUGAAUUUGAGUGUUAAAAGUUUUAUCAGAGUUUUGUAAAGGCUUUCUUACAUUUAAAUUGGAUCUUUUACAGUUUCAAAUAUAUAUAUUUUUUACAGCUUAUACCUUAACAUUUAUUGACCCAACAAAUUUUGAAAUUAUCUUACAUAUAUAAAAUUAAAGUUGAAUAAAAAGAAAAACCUCAA